GGCGCCGCUGCCGUCAAACUGACAGUCUGUGAAGUAAUUUUUAUGUGAAAAAAGAAUAUGAAAUAGAAAUUGCCUUAUUUCAAGUGAAAAUCGUAGUGUUUUAUUCCAAAAAAGUGCUCCAAUUUGUCAACAGGAACCCCACAAUGGCGAGUACAUCGAGGUGCGACAUAUCCAACAAAGUGGUGUGCUAUGCGCAUCCGGAAGCGCCCCUAAUUGAGGAUUACAGGGCUGGGGAUAUGAUCUGUUCAGAGUGUGGGCUAGUGGUGGGGGACAGGGUGAUUGACGUGGGCUCAGAGUGGCGCACAUUCAGCAAUGAGAAGUCUGGGGUUGAUCCCAGCAGAGUGGGAGGUCCAGAGAAUCCGCUGCUGAGUGGAGGAGACCUCUCCACGAUGAUUGGACCAGGAACAGGACCAGCAUCCUUCGACGCAUUUGGAACUUCCAAGUAUCAGAAUCGUCGUACAAUGAGCAGUUCAGAUCGUGCCUUGAUCGCUGCCUUCAAGGAGAUCUCCACAAUGGCUGACAGAAUAAAUCUGCCCAAGACAAUUGUGGACAGAGCCAAUAAUCUCUUCAAGCAGGUGCACGAUGGUAAGAACCUCAAGGGACGUUCCAAUGAUGCCAAAGCGUCAGCCUGUCUGUACAUUGCGUGCAGGCAGGAGGGCGUUCCGCGGACAUUCAAGGAGAUCUGUGCUGUUAGUAAGAUCAGUAAGAAGGAGAUUGGGAGGUGUUUCAAGCUAACUCUCAAGGCUCUGGCCACUUCGGUGGAUCUGAUCACAACGGCGGACUUUAUGUCGCGCUUCUGCUCGAAUCUCGAUCUGCCGAAUAUGGUACAGCGAGCUGCUACGCAUAUUGCUCGUAAGGCUGUCGAGAUGGACAUUGUGCCGGGCAGAUCGCCUAUUUCCGUUGCUGCUGCUGCCAUCUACAUGGCAUCGCAGGCGUCGGAGCACAAGAAGAGCCAGAAGGAGAUUGGGGACAUUGCUGGAGUGGCUGAUGUCACCAUCAGGCAAUCCUACAAACUCAUGUACCCGCACGCUGUGAAGCUCUUCCCUGAGGACUUCCGCUUCACCACGCCCAUCGAUCAGCUGCCUCAGAUGUAGGCGGACGGAGAGUGAGAGAGACAGCAAGAGAGAGAGAGAGAGGGAGGGAGGACCAAGGCAUCCUCGUGGCAGAUGUCUGUUAUUUCCGUGAAAAGAUAAAUAAACCAAUUUAAAAAAAGAAAUAUUCGUAUACGUCUUGUGUUUGUGAAAGAGCGAAAAUUUGGUGUUUUUUUUUAGGAUCAAUUGAGCACUAUUAGAAGCUCUGUUAAUUUUUUUCUUGUUCUUAGGUUGUCUUUUUUUAUUAUUAAAAAAAAGUAGAGAAUCUAAUGGUGAUUGAAAGUAUUUAAUUUUGAUAAUAAAUUCUUUAUUUAAUUGCCUUUCAAUGACCAUCAGAAUUUUUAGGACAAUCUCUAAGAACUUUCCUAGAUUUUAUAUUAUAAAAUAAUUUUUAAAAAAAAGAAUGAGCAGAGAAAAAAUGAAGGAAGAAAAAUCUGUGAAAAAUUGUUCAACAUGAUAAUCAUUGAAUAAAUAAGUGAGGAAUGGAAAUGCA